rnacentral:rRNA from 1 species
UAGUAAUCGCGAAUCAGAAUGUCGCGGUGAAUACGUUCCCGGGCCUUGUACACACCGCCCGUCACACCAUGAGAGUCGAUAACACCCGAAGCCUGUGAGCUAACCGUAAGGAGGCAGCAGUCGAAGGUGGGGUUGAUGAUUGGGGUGAAGUCGUAACAAGGUAAC